rnacentral:misc_RNA from 1 species
GUAUUUUUACAGCUUAGUUUGUUAACCUUUGGCCUGCAGCAGGGUUGCAAAAAAGCUGGUUUUAUAAAAUAGGAGUUCAAAUUCACAUAAUGAGAUAGAGGAGGAGACGAAGGUUUCGCUUCCUGAUGACUGGUAAUGAUGAAGGAGAAGGAGAGGAGCUUACUCUGUAUCACCAAGGAAUAAAAAUAAGUAUUAUUAGCGAAAUUGGAAUUUGAAUCUACACAGAAAUACUGUACUAGCUGUAAUGAUUCGGAUAAACAAUCUUCAAAGUAUUAGUUGCUGGAAUCUCAAAUGAAAAAUUCAAGCAUGUUUAUGAACCAUGCUAGUUCCUCUCUCACGAUUCCUGAAACCCAUAGUAACCCCAAGUUCCUGCUUCUUCAGCAAAAGCUUUAACUUAUGGGCUUCAGCCAUCAAGAAUGCCUCCUUCCCGCACUAAGCUUUGUACCUCUGCUCUCAAAUGCACCGCGCCUCCAUCCCUUUCGAUAGCUUCUCUAUUCUCUUCACCCUCAAAUCUUGUACCCGUUUGCAGAACUUCACCAUCAUUUGCCAUCUGCAUUCUCAUAUAAUCAAACUGGGAUUCAUCACUCACGUCUGUGUUGCCACUUCUCUGCUCCAUGUUUAUGUCGUCACAUCUUUUGGUAAUGUGUGUCUCUUGUUCGAUGAAAUGCCUGAAAGAAACACUAUUACAUGGAAUACAAUGAUUACAGGGUAUUCAAGGUCAGGGAAUAUCAACAAUGUACUCGCCCUUUUUGAGGAAAUGCCAUCGAGGGAUGUGGCUUCUUUGUCUGCCAUGAACUUAGCCUACUUUUACCAUGGGUAUUGGGAUAAAGGGUUAUCGUUAUUUCAAGAAAUGAUGUCAAGUGGGGAACCAAAACCGGACCAAGUGACCGUGGGAACUGUUUUAUCAAGUUAGGCACAUUGGGGUUCUCUUGCAUUGCUGGUUGGGAAAUCGGUUCGUGGCUUUACUGUUAAGAAUGGGUGGGAACUGAAUGUUGAAAUUGGCACAAUUCUGGUUGACAUGUAUGCUUAGUGUGGACACAUGAAGAAUGCUUGCCUGGUUUUUGAUUUGAUGCGUAUAUAUAUAUAUAUAUAUACAGCACAGCAUGGCUUUAGUCAAGAAACGUUGAUGUUGUUUAAGAAGAUGCAACAGGCAGAUAUUAGACCUAAUGAGCUGACUAUCACGGGUAUUCUCAAUGCCUGUGCUCAUUCAGGACUGGUUGAAGAGGGAAGAAAGUAUUUCAGGAUGAUUGAAGAGUAUGGUUUGGAGCACAGAAUUCAGCAUUAUGGAUGCAUGGUUGAUCUGUUUGGUAAGGCAGGGUUGUUAGAAGAAGCUUAUGAGGUUAUUAAGAUGAUGAAGUUCGAGACUAAUAUUGUUAUCUGGGGUUCCUUCUUGUCAGCCUCCAAGGAGCAUAAACAGUUUGACAUGGCUGAAAGAGUGAUUGAACAGAUCUUGAGUGUAAUAAAGCCAGAGAAUGAUGGAGGUAUUUACACUCUUAUCUGUGAUUUGUAUGCUUUAAAUGAGAAAUGGGAUGAUGCAGAGAGGGUGAGGAAAUUAAUGCUUAACCAAAAUGUGAGAAAAGCCAGAGGCUUUAGUUUUGUCAGAAGUUGAUUAUAGGGCGCCCAUUCAUCGGUCAUCUGCAACUUUUGAUUCUUUAGCUUCUAUAGUUUUGAACGUUGAUCUUUCUGUAGGUAAUAAUGGCAUAUUUAUCUGUUUUGAUAGCUUUAGUUUUGUUAAACUCUUAUGAUUCUUUGUUUAAGAAAAAGUAAUGAGAUAAAGAGCCAGAAGAGCAAGAACAAUGAAUGCAAGAGGAAAUUUAGCUGCUGCUACCCUGUAUCGAUGCUUAAACUGAUCUUUUAUUUUAUUUGCUAAUUAUAAUUUCAGAGGGAAAAGGGGGAACUGGAACACUUUGGGAAUCCAUUUCUUGACCAUUCAUGUUGUCAUAAUAUUAGAUCCACACUAGAUACAAACAUAAAUAGCAAAUAAAGUUAAAGAAUUAUACCAUGGACAAAGAAUUCAAUGCUAUUUUUCAGUAUUCCCUUCUUGAAUGUAGGCAGACUGUAACAGAGAAGGCAAAACAAGAGGAGAAAGUAGAGGAAUAGGGUCUUUACUAUGGUAGAAUGAAUUAAAUGAAGGAGCUUCCAUGAGUGGUGGCGAUGACGAUGAUGAUGAGGAUGAUGCUACAGUUGCUUGAGGUGCAACAUGUCUUUCAACAAAGGCAGUUAGCUUAAUAUGCAGAGGACAGGGAGCUCGCCUUUGCAAGUGGUUCAAUGGCUUUCUGUAUUCAUCUUUGUGAAUACAAGUUUGGAAACCAGGAACACCAGAAUCCUCCUUUUCGUUUGUCUAUCUCUUUAAUCUUUUAGAUCUCUUAAUCCAUGUAUGCUCUCAUCUCUUUAAUCUUUUAGAUCUCUUAAUCCAUGUAUGCUCUC